rnacentral:misc_RNA from 1 species
GAUGAAGAACGUAGCGAAAUGCGAUAAGUAAUGCGAAUUGCAGAAUUUCCGUGAGUCAUCGAAUCUUUGAACGCACAUUGCGCCCGCCAGCAUUCUGGCGGGCAUGCCUGUCCGAGCGUCAUUUCCACCCUCAGGCCCUGCCUGGUGUUGGGGACCUGCAGCUGCUGCAGCCCCCCAAAGACAACGGCGUGCCUGCCGGGCCCCGAGCGUAGUAACACACCUCGCCUGGGAAGUCCUGCAGCGCCCUGCCGCGAACCAAACACUUCUAAGGUUGACCUCGGAUCAGGUAGGAAUACCCGCUGAACUUAAGCAUAUCAAUAAGCGGAGGA